CAGAAAGUAAUUGAUUUCUCUGUGGAUCUCUAACAGUGACAAGAAUUUUCACCUAUGCCUGUGAGAAUACCUUCAAAAGUAUUGGGUGCUCAUCAUAAACACACAUCAGUUUAACAAACUCUUAUGGAUGCAUUGACUUUCCCAGUUAGUUGCUAGAUGACUUCGGAUGAUUUGCAUAAUGGGUCUCAGUUUCCAUAUCUGUUAAAUGGCAAUAAUCAGAGAAUUUUAAAAAAUUUAAGGACACCUGGAAAGCUUGAAAGAUCCCUAGAAAGCAUGUGUUUAUUCCACAUAGUGGGAACUAUGCUAGAUUCCAAAGACACAAAGACAACUAAGACAACUUAGAAUAAGAAGGAAAAGAGAAUGAUUCGUUGCAAUGAUCCCCUUGAAGCUCCAGUUGAAAGUCAGAGUAUUGCCCUGGAUUGGAAGUAGUCUCCAAACUGACAUCAUUUUCUUUUUCGAACCAUAUCUGGCCUGUCUCUCUUGCCAGUUGCAUAUUAAAGGUAACAGAUUUGAAAAUGUUUGGAAUAAAAGCUCUAGUUAGGUGUGGUGGCACACACCUGCCAUCCCAGCUACUGGAGAGUCUGAGACUCGAUGAUUGUUUCAGCCCAAGAGUUGGAGGUUGUAGUGAGCUAUGAUGGCACCACUGCACUCCAGUCUGUGUGACAGAGCGAAGACCUUGUCUCUAAGGAAAAAAAAAAAAAGCACUAUACAAAUUCCACAUUGGGAAAUUUUCACUGAAUCAAUGGUUAAAGGUUUAUACAAUGGAUGGAGUAUUUGGUUAGUGAGGAGAGAUUUUUGAGGAUCGAUGGCAAUACUUAUUUCUAGAAAUAGCCUUGUUUUUGCUGAUUACUGUUGGUAGGGAUCAGUUUAAUGCUUUUUCCCCUAAUGUACCUAGAGAUUUGUGGUAGAAUUAGCUAUGCAAAUUGAAUCCUUAAAAAAAAAACCCUCCACAAACCUGUAUGUUAUAUUUAUAAACUUUACAUUGUACUAAAGUCAGCAAAUGUCACAGAAUUAAAAUCAGUAAAUGCAAAAGUGAAGGUUUCUAUAGCAACAGUAACUCACCCAUAUUGCACAUAAAAUGAAAUGUACAUUAGGAUUUACAUUUAAUCGCCUAUUAGUGGAGAAAAGUCCUAUGUAUAACAGGUGCAAUAUGAAUACAUUAGGGUGACCCUAGCAACUCUUUAUCUUUUAAACUCCAGGCUCUAGCUGCCGUAACUCUUUUAUAUCUACCAAGUUUUGACUCCUUUAGGGAAAGUGAGGUAGGAAAAUUAGAGGCAGCGUUAGAGCAGAGGUGUGUACCCCUAGAUUUAAAUGCAGUGGAAUAUUACCAUUGCAUAAAUUAUCAAUCAACUCAGUAGGUGUUUCAGAGAAAGAAAUAGACCCAGAAUAGUAAAUGUUUAUGAAAUUGUUGCACGUAGGGUACUUAAGAAGAAUUUCUGUCUAGCAUAGUCGGUUUAUCCAAACCUUGAGCGCUUCUGAAACAUGCUAAUGCAAGAUGAUUUUGUGACUUUGAGUUGGUUGCGGAAUGGCCCAAUAGGAGGGUGGCAGGAUUGGAGCCAGGGACAUGGGACAUGGCCCCAGCCCAUCACUCUGCACAUAUGGCCUCCCUUGUUGAAUUUCAGUUUCUUCCUAUAAUGCAUUCCUACUUCCUAUAAUGCAUUCCUACUUCCUAUAAUGCCUGCUAUCCAGGGUUCUAAGAAUCAAAUAGGAGUGGAAGGAGAAGGAUAGAGGGUAUUUUGUGGAAGCUAAAGCUCUCUAUAUGGACAAUGAUGUCGCUAUUGUGAAUGUGACUUUCAUAAGGCAAAUAUCAUCCCCAGCAGUUAUACCAUGCCUUUGGCUGGUGGUCCCUGGAGACGGCCUAUCCUUGGCCGUCUGCUUACAUAAAGGAAUGUCUCUUCGCUCUGCAGCAGCUCUUCUGGUGGAGGGCUCUGAGUCAUUGCUGAGAAUAACCGUCAUGCCUCCUCCAGCUCAGUCUACAUCAGAUAACUCUAGAUAGAGACUCUUCUAUUGGUCAAAACUUUCUUUUAUAAAAUUGGAAGAAAUUUUUCUAGUGACUAGACAGAUGAUUCACUCUAAAAUGCAGUUGAUUUUUAAAAAUAAUUUUAAGUAAAAUUGAUCAUAAGUUUUCUUUUUCUUUUUUCUUCUCCAUGAGCUUUAAUGUUCUUUAGUAUUCCUUGGCUUCACUCUGAACUCUUUGAUUCAGUUGGUCCGGAGUAGGCCACAGGAUCUGCUUUUUAUCCAGUAGCAUGGUAAUCUUUAAAAAUUUAUUUUUCAAUUGAUAAAUUAAUUUUGUAUAGCUUAAGACAUCAAAUGAGGUUAUCUGAUUACCACCCAGAUCAGAUUUUGCCAGCCCCAGAAACCCUACCCUGAUGAUAACCCCUUUCCUUGUAUAGUCUUAAUUGACUUUUUUGGUAUUAAUUCUCUUAUGUUUCCCCAGACACUAUGUUUCCCCAGCUGCUAUUGAUUCUCAGACUGGCCUGCCUUGCUGUCCAGUGAAUACUUGUUGGCUGUUUUUGAUUCCCUGAUUUUCUGGUCUAUCAGAUGUUCUCUAGCUUCCUUCCUGCCUAGACCCUGAUAACAUACAUGUCUAUGGCUGUAGUGGUUUGUUCCACUGGCUUGUAUUUUGGGAUGUCAGGUCCCCUUUUCUUUUCAAAUAUAAUUUUUGUUUUAUUGAAAAAAUUGAAAGAGCUUUUUAAAAACAUAAUUGGACCAAUUUUUGUCAAGUGCCACUCUUGUGCAUACAUAAACAAGGCUAUAAAUGAAAUACAUUGGUUAGGUAUUACUAAGACUUACACUCAGGGUCUAAUGGUUUAGAAUUGUUCUUCAACUCAUGGUUGUCCACGAUUUUCCACGUAGUAUAACCUUUGUGCCACCAAGGAUGUUGGUGAGAUGGCAUUCUUCAAAAUAAUACUUUUAGAAAACAGACAUGAUGCAGGUCUCUGAGCAGGCUUUGCAUUAGGUAGAGCUUGCCUAAUUUUGAAUUUGAUUUUCAGGAAUGUAGCGAAUCUUGUUGGAUGCGCACUCUCCCUGACUCUUACCCUCAACUAUUUGAUUGAGAGGAGAAAGAGUGAUCUAUCUGUCCCUCCUUUUCUUCCAAACCAUUCGCACCCAUUCUGCAAAUUAUGAUGCUUUGA
rnacentral:lncRNA from 1 species